UAAAUGUGAAAAGGAAAAGAGAGUGGAUGAAGGGAAUGGUCUGAGGAAGUUGGCUGAUAAGAAAGAAAGAGAUGCAAGAAAACAAAGAAGAUAAAGAGUCAAGAACCGAGACAAGGGAGAAAAGGAGUUGAAAUAGGAGUGGAAUGAGGCUGACACAGUUCUGAAGAUUUAAGGGAAGAAGAGAUAUCUGCUCGAUCCAGGAUAUGCCAGAGAUCCUGUGACGUGCAAAAGUUGCCCAGCACACCUGGUGACCCCCUUCCUUUUCACGUAUUCUUCUUUUUAUCUGUUGGUCGGUUUUUGUUUUGAGUUGUCUUCCACACUAAUCCACAACUUGGAUGUACGGCCUUGUGUGGUAAGAGGUUGCUCAUGUAUCUUGCUUUUGUUUGUGUUUUUUAUGUGUUUGUUAUAGUAGCAAAUUGAGCAUGCCUUAGUAUGCUUUGUACCUUCCUAAUUCCCUACAUUCCAAGAUACUUGCUAUUGUCUGAUAAGUUCGGUUUUUAACUACGUGAUUCCAGUUAAGUGAUUUAAGAACAAUGGAAUAUUGAGUUUGAGUUUGGAUAUGUAAUAGUCAUAGAGGGAACCACCACUUAUUCAGCUCCACCCUUUUCACUGCUCUCUCCUUUCUGUGCAUCCACUGUUCCAGUUGUACGAGAGAGAGAAGAGGGAAGAAGAUGGUUCCUCCUUUAGCAGUCGGCCACUACUCCUACACCACUGCCCAUUCACACCAUUCCCAACAAUUCUUUCCCCAAUUUGGCCCACAUCUAUAGAGGAGGGGACCAUCUACAGAAUCAGCCCUACCUCAAUUCUUUCAAGAGGAAGUUUUCAAUUCCCAUGUAUAAAAGUAAUCCUCUGCCCUAAUUGAAGGGGACGAGCAGCCGUCAUAUUUUUUUACAUGGAUCUGCUAUUUGCGCACAUCCAAUGUCAAACUCUUCAAUUAUGAGCAGUCCUUGAAAAGUAAAGAAUUGUUCAGUUGUUCCAAGGAGAGUGGUCCUAUCACAUUUUCUAUAAGCUCUGCUCUGGUGUCCGUUCUGGUCUCCAAGGUAGGGUGAGGUUAUGAAGUGCUUCUGAACACAACUAUCUCAAUCCGAGUGAAUGUUUGCAGAUCCCAAACAUUGAUAAUGAACAAAAGUUUCAUAAUCUUAUGGUUUGAAUCUUUAGUAAAGAAACUGAUGUACUGGUGGGAAAAAUUAAUUCUGGCAUAUGUUUUCACCCCUUGAGUAGCCUUGGAUUCUAUAACGAUGACUAGAAACGCAUCAAAAUGCUUGCUGCAGUUUUGUGGCUGGGAAACAUCAUUUCUUGUAAUUGAGAAUCAAAAGAACAUCGAGGUUUUUCGUGAUGAAGCUUGCUUGACGGGUUGUAGUGAGAAAGACCGGAUGCUUACAAUGUGAAACUAGAAGGUGCGAGAAGGUGCGAGUGGGCAGUGAUGAAGUCACCAAAUCUCCCUUACUUGAACAGGCUCUUAAUUUUAUGUAUGUGUGUGCGCAGUGUAUAUUUUGUGCAUAUAAUGUAUGUAUAUUGUGUAUAAUGUGUGCAUUUUGUGUAUAGUGUGUGAAAUUUGUUUGUUAUGUGUACAAUGACUGCAAUGUAUGUAUUUUUCGUAUAGUGUGGCUAGCGGUGUUUGUAUUUUGUGUAUAUGUGAGUGUAGUGUAUGUAUUUUGUAUAUGUGUGUAGUCAGGGACGGAUCUAGAAAAUGAUCAUAGAAGGGGCAAAAAUACAUGUGGAGAUAUUUGAAGUGUUUGAGGAGGGGCAUUUAAAGAAGAAACUAAUAUUAAUUUUUUUCUACAAUAGAAUUUAUACAUAGAUAUGAAAUUUUGAGGGAGGGCAUUUGCCCCUCCUCCUUGCACGUUAGAUCUGUCACUGUGUGUAGUGUGCAUGUUUAUAAGGCGUCGAAUAUAUGUUUUGUGUGUGUGUUUAUAAGGUGUGAAUGAUGUAUUUGUUGUAUGUGUAUUU